rnacentral:rRNA from 1 species
GGUUUCCGCCCUUCAGUGCUGCAGCUAACGCAUUAAGCACUCCGCCUGGGGAGUACGACCGCAAGGUUGAAACUCAAAGGAAUUGACGGGGGCCCGCACAAGCGGUGGAGCAUGUGGUUUAAUUCGAAGCAACGCGAAGAACCUUACCAGGUCUUGACAUCCUUUGACCACUCUAGAGAUAGAGCUUCCCCUUCGGGGGCAAAGUGACAGGUGGUGCAUGGUUGUCGUCAGCUCGUGUCGUGAGAUGUUGGGUUAAGUCCCGCAACGAGCGCAACCCUUAUUGUUAGUUGCCAUCAUUCAGUUGGGCACUCUAGCAAGACUGCCGGUGACAAACCGGAGGAAGGUGGGGAUGACGUCAAAUCAUCAUGCCCCUUAUGACCUGGGCUACACACGUGCUACAAUGGGAAGUACAACGAGUUGCGAAGUCGCGAGGCUAAGCUAAUCUCUUAAAGCUUCUCUCAGUUCGGAUUGCAGGCUGCAACUCGCCUGCAUGAAGCCGGAAUCGCUAGUAAUCGCGGAUCAGCACGCCGCGGUGAAUACGUUCCCGGGCCUUGUACACACCGCCCGUCACACCACGAGAGUUUGUAACACCCGAAGUCGGUGAGGUAACCUUUUGGAGCCAGCCGCCUAAGGUGGGAUAGAUGAUUGGGGUGAAGUCGUAACAAGGUAGCCGUAUCGGAAGGUGCGGCUGGAUCACCUCCUUUCUAAGGAA